CCUACGGGUGACUGCAGUGAGGAAUAUUGGUCAAUGGCCGUAAGGCUGAACCAGCAAAGUAGCGUGAGGGAAGAAUGCCCUAUGGGUUGUAAACCUCUUUUAUGCGGGGAAAAAGGUGUCCAAGCGUGGAUGUUUGCAGGUACUGCAUGAAUAAGGACAGGCUAAUUCCGUGCCAGCAGCCGAGGUAAUACGGAAGGUACGGGCGUUAUCCGGAUUUAUUGGGUUUAAAGGGAGCGUAGGCCGGUCUUUAAGCGUGCCGUGAAAUUUUGAGGCUCAACCAUGAGAGUGCGGCUCAAACUGGAGACCUUGAGUGCGCGGAAGGCAGGCGGAAUUCGUGGUGUAGCGGUGAAAUGCUUAGAUAUCACGAAGAACCCCAGUUGCGAAGGCAGCCUGCCGCAGCGUUACUGACGCUGAAGCUCGAAAGCGCGGGUAUCGAACAGGAUUAGAUACCCGGGUAGUC
rnacentral:rRNA from 1 species